GAUUAGCUUGUUGGUGAGGUAAUGGCUCACCAAGGCGACGAUCCGUAACUGGUCUGAGAGGAUGAUCAGUCACACCGGAACUGAGACACGGUCCGGACUCCUACUGAGGCAGCAGUGGGGAAUAUUGGACAAUGGGCGAAAGCCUGAUCCAGCCAUGCCGCGUGUGUGAAGAAGGCCUUUUGGUUGUAAAGCACUUUAAGCAGUGAAGAAGACUCCGUGGUUAAUACCCACGGACGAUGACAUUAGCUGCAGAAUAAGCACCGGCUAACUCUGUGCCAGCAGCCGCGGUAAUACAGAGACCUCAAGCGUUAUUCGGAUUUACUGGGCGUAAAGGGUGCGCAGGCGGCCAAGUGUGUCGGAGGUGAAAUCUUGCAGCUUAACUGUAAAAUUG
rnacentral:rRNA from 1 species